UACGUAGGGUGCGAGCGUUAAUCGGAAUUACUGGGCGUAAAGCGUGCGCAGGCGGUCUGUUAAGACCGAUGUGAAAUCCCCGGGCUUAACCUGGGAACUGCAUUGGUGACUGGCAGGCUUUGAGUGUGGCAGAGGGAGGUAGAAUUCCACGUGUAGCGGUGAAAUGCUUAGAUAUCGUCAAGAACACCGAUAGUGUAGACAGCUUACUAGGCUACAACUGACGCUGAGGCACGAAAGUGUGGGGAUCAAACAGG
rnacentral:rRNA from 1 species